rnacentral:sRNA from 1 species
CUUCUACACACAAGCAUGAUUUAGCCGCACAAACAUACAACGUGAUUAUUGCGUCUCCGAAGCGUGUCAGUGUUUUAGCUUGCAUGUCGCUGUGUUGAUCGUAUGUGUGUUUAUAUACUUUAUAACCAAGACUAGCACAGACCUGUGGCCAAGGUACUUGGCUAUUGUCAAUGUUCUUGGAAACUUAUUGGAUAUCUAAUUCUGACUGUUUUCAUAACAUUUACUCCACAAGAACACGAUAAAUGUUUCAACAGUUUUAUAUUUGAAGUCAUCACCGUAGAGAAAAGCGAAUUUAAAAUUAAUUUGUAAUGGAUUAACCAGACUGCUAACAAUACAAUGACGCCAUAUGCAAUGUUCAGUCUUUUCUUUGUCAUAUUUAUCGCUGUCAUCGUCCAAACAGAUACUUGUCCAACAAAUCGGUUCGGUCCUGACUGUCGUUAUAUGUGUCAUUGCAAUACGAGUACAAAUUGCAUUGAUGGAGAUUGUCCUGGUGGAUGUGACGCUGAAUGGUUCGGUCCAAAAUGUCAAUACGCAAAUAUGAUU